UACAGAGGGUGCAAGCGUUGUUCGGAAUUAUUGGGCGUAAAGCGCGUGUAGGCGGCUUUGCAAGUCGGGUGUGAAAGCCCUCGGCUCAACCGAGGAAGUGCGCCCGAAACUGCAGAGCUUGAGUACCGGAGAGGAUGGCGGAAUUCCCCAAGUAGAGGUGAAAUUCGUAGAUAUGGGGAGGAACACCGGUGGCGAAGGCGGCCUUCUGGACGGUGACUGACGCUGAGGCGCGAAAGCGUGGGGAGCAAACGGG
rnacentral:rRNA from 1 species